UGUGGUAUUUUGUAGCGAUGACCUUCAUCACCUUAAUCCUGACAAUGCUCCUCUGUCUACAUGGAUCCAGAGGCCAGUACACAGUGACUCAGACUCCAUCAGUAUUAGCUGCUGUUCCUGGACAAACAGUCUCCCUGAACUGUAAAGUCAGCAGUAAUGUUUUAAGCAACAUCUAUCUGCAUUGGUACUAUCAGGUAUCUAGAGAGCCUCCUAAACUCCUGAUUUACACUACUAGCAAUCGCCAGUCAGGCACUCCAUCUCGAUUCAGUGGCAGUGGAUCUGGAAGUGCUUUCACUCUGACCAUCAGUGGAGUCCAGACUGAAGAUGCAGGAGAUUACUACUGUCAGAGUCUCCAUGUCCCAAGCGGUUAUGUGUUCACACAGUGAUACAGAGCC